rnacentral:misc_RNA from 1 species
GUCCUAAAUUUUGCACACAUUCUGGUCUUGAAAAAAAUGUUUGUUGUUCCUUUAUUAAUUGGGAGGUUGUUGGGCAGGGGCAUCUUAGAAUUCACGGAUUGGCUGCUGCUAUCCUCAGGGUUUCUUGGUCUUUUAUAUGGGGGUUGGAGUUGUUCAAAUUGCGAAAGCGAGUCAAAUUGCUCAUUGCUGUUUACAGGGAAUUGAGGCCAAACGCCAAUGGCAUCACUGCCUGAUUGAUAUGGAAACUGUGCUGACAUAAAGGGAGGUCGAGAGUCUGGAUAACUCAUUUUGGUAAAUUUCAAGGAUUGAGUGCACUAAUCAAUGGGGGUACUGGAAUCAAUAACCUAAUAUAGAUCAAUGUAUAACGCAAUCUAAUAAUCAAUAAAUCUCAAUCAGGCAAUGAUCAAAGAGCAUGCAGAUUGUGAUUCCUCAAACCCAGAUAUUAAACAAAUAAAAAAUUUUCUGUUCUAUUAUU